rnacentral:rRNA from 1 species
CGAAGGGGGCAAGCGUUGUUCGGAAUUACUGGGCGUAAAGGGCGCGUAGGUCGGCUUAUCAAGUCAGGCGUGAAAUUCCCGGGCUCAACCUGGGGGCUGCGCUUGAUACUGAUUGGCUUGAAUGCGGGAGAGGAUAGUGGAAUUCCCAGUGUAGAGGUGAAAUUCGUAGAUAUUGGGAAGAACACCGGUGGCGAAGGCGGCUAUCUGGCCCGUAAUUGACGCUGAGGCGCGAAAGCGUGGGGAGCAAACGAGGAUUAGAUACCCUGGUAGUCCACGCCGUAAACGAUGAAUGCUAGACGUUGGCGAGCAUGCUCGUCAGUGUCGGAGCUAACGCAUUAAGCGAUUCCGCCUGGGGAGUACGGUCGCAAAGAUUA